rnacentral:rRNA from 1 species
AGAGUGAACGCUGGCGGCAGGCCUAAUACAUGCAAGUCGAACGGCAGCACAGCAGAGCUUGCUCUGUGGGUGGCGAGUGGCGGACGGGUGAGGAAUACGUGGGAAUCUGCCCAGUCGUGGGGGAUAACGUAGGGAAACUUACGCUAAUACCGCAUGCGCCCUUCGGGGGAAAGCCGGGGACCUUCGGGCCUGGCGCGAUUGGAUGAGCCCACGUCGGAUUAGCUAGUUGGCGGGGUAAAGGCCCACCAAGGCGACGAUCCGUAGCUGGUCUGAGAGGAUGAUCAGCCACACUGGAACUGAGACACGGUCCAGACUCCUACGGGAGGCAGCAGUAGGGAAUAUUGGACAAUGGGCGCAAGCCUGAUCCAGCCAUGCCGCGUGAGUGAAGAAGGCCCUCGGGUUGUAAAGCUCUUUUGUCCGGAAAGAAAAGCGCCGGGUUAAUACCCUGGUGUCCUGACGGUACCGGAAGAAUAAGCACCGGCUAACUUCGUG